GGGUAUCAGUGCGAAAAAAUUUGGACAUACAAGAGAAGCGAAUGGUAUCAUCAUAGACUCUUUUAUUUUACGAAUAAUUAAGUUGUAUUACUAAAGCGGAGAGUGGAUAUGCAUGAAAGUCAGAUUGUAUUGAUACUCAGCAAAAACAAGGUAACUUAUCAUUACUAAUCAAUCCUUUUCUUUUACUGAAAGGCAAGUUGCUGUUGUGCUGGAGCUGAGAAGAGGUCUGCUGCCUGCAAUGGGUCCAUCUCUCUCAAGUUAUCGCAGUAUUGUAGCUCUCAAAGGCAUGGACAGCACAUCGAGCACCCUCGACUGAAGCCAACCUUGUCCCGGAAGUUGGUGCUUCACAACUUUGCGGCAGCACUUCGUUUGCACGUCCUGUGGAGACAAGGUUUCUUAGACAUGGCCAUGGCCCUCAAGGAAGAUGCCGAGGCCACAGGCAGUUCCUCCAGUGACCGUGAAAAGGUCCCCUGGGGCACAAGUCUAAUUUGGCACCCCUACCUUUCUCCUGCAGCUUUUCUGUCUACUUACCUAACCAGCAGCAAGUUUAUCCUUGCAAGCAUUUUGGGUCAAGAACAACUUUCACCAGGAAGAAGUGCAAGACGAGUGAUUGAAGAAAAUAAAGUUGCUUCUGUGAUCUAAGAACUUCAGGACUGAAAUG